rnacentral:rRNA from 1 species
CCUACGGGAGGCAGCAGUGGGGAAUAUUGCGCAAUGGGCGAAAGCCUGACGCAGCGACGCCGCGUGAGGGAUGAAGGUCUUCGGAUCUGUAACCUUCUUCAGCAGGGAAGAACUGUCACUGUGCUAAUCAGCAGUGAAUUGACGGUACCUGCAAAGGAAGCACCGGCUAACUCCGUGCCAGCAGCCGCGGUAAAACGGAGGGGGCGAGCGUUAAUCGGAAUUACUGGGAGUAAAGCGCUCGUAGGCGGUAUGUCAAGUCCAGGGUGAAAUCCUCGCGCUCAACGUGGGAACUGCUUUUGAAACUGGCAAACUGGAGUGUGUGAGAGGAUAGUGGAAUUCCAGGUGUAGGGGUGAAAUCCGUAGAU